rnacentral:rRNA from 2 species
GGGUGCGAUCAUACCAGCACUAAAGCACCGGAUCCCAUCAGAACUCCGCAGUUAAGCGUGCUUGGGCGAGAGUAGUACUAGGAUGGGUGACCUCCUGGGAAGUCCUCGUGUUGCACCCC